CAGCACUCAGCAUUCUGAAAUUCUGGAUGUAAACAGAAAUGGAACUCCAGCCACGCGAGGUGAAAUCUCAAGGUCAAAAAUUGGAACUAGCUGGAAGCAAUUGCCUGAAGAAGUACAAAUGGAAAUACAAGAUUCUAAUCUGCUGCUGUUCUAAAUGUGCAACAAUUAAUAAGUAAAAAUUCUGAUAAUUAUGCCUCGUUUUAAGCCACUGGAUCUCUUCGGAACUCUACGUAAAGACCAAGUGUUUAAUUGAAAGCAAAUGAUUACCUCUGGAGUACAGAAGUGAGUACUUUUUUAUCUAAAAACCUAACUAUUUUGAACACGAUCAUGGAAAGACAGAACCAUCUUAUAAAAUGCAACUUGACAGAGAUACAACCUAGGAAUAAAAUAGUUUCUUCUGACAAGCAAUUUGAAACUGUCAAAAACCAGCAGUUGGAUUUAAGAGAUUCACUCUCUAUAAAAGCACCAGACUCAGAGAAAAGGGAUUAAAUGAACAUCUUGGAAAAGAUAGGCAGACAUAGCUAAACUGCCAGAAAAUAAACUAUAUGAUCAAAAGUCUAAAUAUACUGCAAAGAGUUACAAACUAGUCCUCAGAUAUGGAAAAGUAUCAUUUUAUCCAGUGAUAAUGUGAAUGGUUAGAAAUGCAAUCUGUGACAUACAUCCACAGUGAAGCUACUUUCAGGGAGUGUUCAGGUUCUAAACGCAAUGCAAAAAAUCCAAGACAAAGCAAUUGCUUUUCAAGACCUGUCAACAUAAACAAAACCCCUAAAAACUGCAUGUUGGCCUGGGCUAAGAAGAAAAUGAAUUGCUUACUGCAGCUGCACAAGUCAGUACCAUAAGAAACUCAGCAAAAAAUAAAUUGCAAGUUAUAUAAAGUCUUCUAAUCUACUAAAUAAUAAUGUGAUAUUAAUUUCCUGUCCAAAUAAUGAUUGCUUCUUCAUCAUUCAGUAUUUACAUGUGGCACAGCGGCCUAAAAUAUUUCAAAUAAGGAGUAAAAUAUUGAUAUUAUAAAAUUAGUUGACCCCAAUAAUGCUUCAGUGCCUCCUGAUGACAGAUAUUUUUGAUACUAAUAGUCACAUUGGAGCUAUUCAGGAUGAGAAUUUAUUCUUAUUACACUUUGGUGAAGUUUCUUAAAUAAAGAGAAUAACUCUUUAUCUCAUUUUUCUCCACAGUUAAGCCAGAAUAAACACCCAACUGACCAUUUUCUUACUAUAUGAAGUGAAUACCAACUGAAUCUCAAGUAUAGCCUAAAAUACAAUCAGAAAGAAGUAAGCACAUAUGACUGUCCAGAGAAUUUAUUUUGACUAAAUUACACAAUUUCGCCUGUGAUGUACAUUGUUUUGAAACAGUAAAAGGCUGCUUCACUUGUCUAUAAGGAGAAAUGCAUUUCCAUGUUGUCCCAGCUGGCUACUCUGGUUAGCAAAUUGGGUCUCUUUCAGCACAGUUCUAAUUUCUUACUUUAUUAUGGUGCAUUUUCUGGUCAGAUAGAUGCACCAGCUCAGUACCAUUUCAGCACUUACGCAAGAAAGUUACUAUAUCAUUCUACUGUUAAGUAAAUGGUGGAUAGACUGGGCUCUCCUCUCUUAAUCAUAGCUACCCUGAAAUCAAGAACAUAACUCUAAUGACUUCAGAGCAUCUUGGAUUUUAUUUCCCAAAUUAAGUUCCAUUUUUCCAGGAAUGAAGACAAUGAAAGCGAUCCGAGGGCCUCCCUGAAGAAGCCCAGCUUCCCCGGCCACAGCACGGGGUGCGUGCAGCCCUGGCACGAAUGAUGGAGCCUGCAGACCCAACCCACUCACCAGCCCCACGACUCAGCGCCUCCAGCUGCAGGCUCCUGUAAGGCCACAGCGUAUGACAGAAGUAGCUGUUUUCAGACAGAGCAAGGCAUUUGAAAUGGCUGAUAAUAUAAGGAGAGGAGGAGUACUUUUUUUUUUUCCCUGUGGAGGCAGAAAAUUAGUACCAGAUUGCUUGUGGAGCCUUCACGUGCCAUCGGAUUUCACAAGUUUACAUUUCUACAGCAACUUUACUAUGCUACAAGCAGUAAUAUUUGACAAUGAAAUGAAGAUUGCAGAGAUUUUGUGUGUAAUUAAGUUAAACCUGGGUUUACUUCAGGGAAAAACAGCAAAAAAGAGCCCAACGACCUUUGCAAGCCUUUGUAAAUAUGUAAAAUCACAUAUACAUUUGCUUGGAUAGAGGGGAAAAAACAACAAAAACAAAGCUCUUGAAAUAUUUGAUAUUAACAUCCCCUCAUAGGGACGUGAGUAAGCCUGCUUUCCUGGUGCAGUUCUGUCUUACUCAACUGUUUGUGAGGCCAGAGCAGGGAUAAUCUUUGGUUUUCUACUUUCCUUCCAUAUGUUUAAAUGUGAUGGGCUAAUCAACCACAUGCUGGUUUUAAAAUCAUAAGGGAUAUUUGCUCCAUCCUUUGGAGAAAGCUUGCAAAACACUACUUUUUCAUUUGCUAAGGCAGAAUUUGUUUUGUAUUUUUGAAUAGAAGAAAAAUAUUCCUUGCCUGUGGAUGGAUGAACCGAAGUGGGGAGACAGUUUGGCAGGGUGAGGGCAAUGGACACUGUACUUCAGGGAGGCAAAGGACAGAACUGCAGAUACUAAUCUAUGAACAACAGCAUGUAUUAAAAGGGAUGUGGCCUGCUUGACUUAAAAAAAGUAAAAACAAAAUAAUCAACAGUCAGCAACCCAUUUUCUGUUGGAGAAUCUUUCAAACAGAGUAUCUCUAGUUUUUACCUUUGCUACUCUAACCAUUCUGAAAACAAGAAAAAUGUUCUUCCCUUUUCUAAGCUGAAAUCUGAAGUAGCUAGUAAAAAAAACCCAAAAAACAAAAAAAACAAAAAACCCUUACCAAAAGAGAAGCCAGAUUAACUUUUCAGAUCCUUCAAACAAUGUUGUUGACACUUUUUUGCAGAAUUUAUUUUGUUCAUAUUUUGUCUUCAUUUGAAAUAUUUUUCAUGUAGAAUGUCACAUCUAGUUAUAUGCAGUGUUCCAUAUCCAUAAUUCUGGCAAUAAAUAUUUCUGCUUGUAAUGUAAAAUUUGAUUUUAUGUCUUAUGCAAUCUGACAAUUCCUUUAGCUAAUAUUAUUAUAUAGUAUUAAUUUAGGUAAUAGUAACAGAUGCAGUAAAUACUAAUGAAUAAUUAGUGCAGUCAUAAAGUUUUUCUCAUUAUAAAGUUUGCCAAUUAUGAAGUUUGUCAUAUUAUUAUCUUUUGUAUUUGCUUUCCAGAAAAUCAAUUCUCAGAUUUUAAAAAUGUGAUAGUGUUUUUUAUAUAAAAAUCUAUUGACAACUAGAUAUCUUCUAUUCCAAAUUAUGAUAAGAAAAAAGGCACUUAUUUCAGUGGGACAGGAAUAAAUGCUUAUACCUCAGUGACAUACAUUUGUAAAUGGAAGCAGACACAAAGAACUUCUUUUUCCCCUUUUGACUAUUACUUUUUUAGAAAACUAUAAAGAGGGAAUUCCGUUAGGCAAAAGGCUUCAGUUAUACUUUUCUGAUAAAACUGAAAUGCAAGAGUUGUAUUGCCAUCACACAAAGCCAUGUAGAAAUGAAGUAUGAAUCCCAAUGCAUGCAUCUAGUCACAGAGAGAUACAUUUUCUUUCAAAGUGAAAGAGACAUGAACUAUAUUAACGUAACUAUUUGCAAUUCUACAUUUGGGAUUUUAUUUCUUCCACUUUGUCCACAAAAGAUAGUUCACAAAAUUAUGAAGGAGAUCCUUUAAAUCUUCCAUAUAAUACAGAUAAUCUAUAACUCUAAAAAAACCCACAAAGUAUAGCUACCCAUGAAGUGCAUGAACAUAGAAAUCAAUAUGGUGGAGUAGGAAACAAUACAAUACGUCUGUCUACACUUGCUUUUAAGAGCAACUAACCAAUUGUGUUCGAUUCUCUCUGAAUCCUCCAUCGAAACAUUCACACCUGUGAGCAGACUUUGGCAACAGAGGGCCAGAUCUUCAGUUAAUACGCAAAUGUGAUUACAUGGCAUGUAUCAGCUUUCCUCUGUGCAGGUCUCCCCUUUAUAUGCUUAAGGCUUUACUGUGAGCUUCAGCAAAAAGGAUUUUUCUCCCAGGGUUUUUAUGCCUCUUCAUUCCAGUGUUUAAUUUAAAUACAAUAUUUAGUUGUCAUUUAAUCAGAAUAAUGCUGUCAGUUUUAGUUAUGCAGGUAGAAUAUAAUUUUUACCCAAUCAGUGCAGCUGUUUGUGUGCUUCCCUCCUCUCCCCCAGCAAUUCAUCCACUUUGCUGAGGUCUUAAAUGAGAAAGCUCUGGUAAAAAACGAGGUUAGUGCUUAUGUCACUAAGUAAGGCACUCUACAACUCUUCACUGCUACCCUUAAUACUUACGUAAGAAUUGACUGACUUUUCUGAAUGUAAAGGACAGGUCAAUCUCCCAGCUAGAUAGCAUGAAUUUUUCUGUGCCUUUUCACACAACUAUUUUUUCUUCCUCAUUACCACUCAACUUCUCUAGCUUUAUUCCUACAGCUUUUGAUGAGCUGAGUUUCAGCAGGGCUGCGUGCCUGUUGGAAAGCCAGAAGCAGCUCCUUGAUUUGCUGCCCAGUGCUAACCCACCAGGGACUGCUGUAGACUGUGCAAUGGACCAUACACCAGCUGGGAAUUGCUGGGACCAUAUGCCAGAUAGAAUUUUGUCCAGAAUGCCUAAUGCAACGAGAUAAGCUGUUGCAUAUUUCUCUGUAGCUGUGCCAGCUAGUGGCAUCCAUGAUCUUCUACGACCUUGUAGACUUGAAAAAUGCUCUGUUAGGACAAAUUAUGAUUAUAGUCACUGUUUUUUGUAAUAUACAAAAGUCUUCUUUGAUAAGUCUUCUCUAAAUCAGGAUAACUCCUUGGUUAUAUAAAUUGAUCAAAAUGUUAUUGACUGGAAAGGGAAAAAGAAAAAAAAUAUUCAGAAACAGUAACUGAGAAAAUGCUAACAUUGUCAUUAUUUUGAAAAACAAAAUAAUGCCUAUAUAAUCCUUUCUGUAAAACCUUUUCUGAAUAAAAAUCUAUUGACAUACUC